GACGAACGCUGGCGGCGUGCCUAACACAUGCAAGUCGAACGGACAGGCCCUGCUUUUGCGCGGUGCUCGAGUGCCGCACACGUGAGUAACACGUGAGUAACCUCUCCCUGACUUUGGGAUAACUUCAGGAAACACGGGCUAAUACCGCAUAGGAGCUCUUGCUGCAUGGUGUGGGUUGGUAAGUUUCGGCGGUUGGGUAUGGAAUCGCGGCUUAACAGCUUGUUGGGGUGGUAGUGGCUUACCAAGGAUUUCACGGAUAGCCCGCCUCAGAGGCUGACCGGCGGCAUAGGGACUGAGAUACGGCCGAGGUUCCUAAGGGAGGCAGCUGUGGGGAAGAUUGACCGAUAAGCGGAAGGCGGGUGCAGCAACGCUGCGUGUCGGAAGACGGCGUUCGGGGGGUAAACCGCUGUCGCAUGUGACGAAGCGUGAGUGACGGUAAUGGGUAAAGAAGCACCGGCUAACUACGUG
rnacentral:rRNA from 1 species